ensembl:lncRNA
UUUAUUUUAUUUUUUUCAAACAUCAUCCCUUUCUUAUGUGUGCUUGUCAUGGAUAUUAUGAACACCAGCCACUGGGCCCAAUACUGGUACGCUCUGGCGGGUGUUGGUACGUUUUUGUACACUACUUCUUCACUGCCCCAUUCACCAGGUAUUAAACAGGAAGGGAAUCUACUGAGAGCACAUUCCACUUAUGUAAAGAAGACAGGCAGGUGAGGCUGAGAGCAUUAUUUCAUUACUUGUUGUUGUUUUGGUUUGCGAUGUUCCUACCAGUUAUUUAUGAAGAGAGUCCAGUUUGAGAUGAAGUGAAUCACUCGGAAAUACAAAUGGUCGGCUUUGACUUUUCAACGGGAGCGCGCGCGCACACACACACACACACACACACACACACACACACACAGGAUCUCUCUUUCUCUCUGCUCACAGCUAAACUAAAUCAGUUUUCUCUCCCUCGCCUUGCCUUCAUAGCUAUUUAUUGUUUUAGCAGAAAUAUAUACCUUUUAAUGUAAAUAGUUUACAGAAAGAAGUGUCUAUCAGCAGAUGUAUUUAUUAGAUAAAUCUAUAGAUGAAUAUACAAAAACAAUCUAUUUAAUUAGUUAUAGCUUAUGUUCUUCUUGUGAGGUUUGAGAGUUUCCUAUAUGUAGUUUGUUUGCACAGCCUAGUCAAUCCAUAAAAUAUUGAGAAAUGUCUCUUUGUGCCUCGAGGCUUUAGUGUCUGUCUGAAUUCAGCACGGUGCUCCUAGGAAGUGAUUUCUUUGUGGCUGAUUCUGAUUUUUCUUUUAGCCAUUUUCGAAGCCCAUAAGAGAAGGAUAAUGGGACAAAAAAACUGAAGAACUUAAAAAAGAAAAUGAUUAGAAAGUAGAAAAAGCGAGAGGAGCAGGUGUCCGGGUCAAGCGCAGUGGCGCUGCCGGUUUACCUCCCAACACCCCUUUCCCUCCCCCACGCCCGUGCCUCAGACAAAAUGGCUCUUGAGCCUUGUGAGAUUUUUUUUUCUUCUUCUUUUUCUUUUUACCCCACCUCUUCCUCCUCCUCCUCCUCCUCUUCGCGUGUGGUUCCCAGUCAUCACGGGCAGGGACAGGAGCGCAGAUCUGUUGUCGUUUCUUCUGAAUGUACGCGUUAUCAACCCCUGCAGUCGUAGCAGCACGGUGCCAAAAGAAGCUCCCUGCGUGUUGUGCAUGCGCCACUUGCAGAUCUCAGUUUAAAGCAUGAUGAUGGUACGCCAAAAAACACAAAAACACAAAAAAAAGGAGGAAAAAAAAGGAAAGCAGAAAAAUAGAUAUGAGAUUGUUUAGUCGUUGAGUGUCGAACGCUGCUUAUUUUUGUCCAAACGGAGAGGGACUGUGCAGCCACGCUAACCAGGUGGGGGUUGGGGGGGUGGGGGUGUUGAAAAGUAGGUGUGAGUGGGCAGGUGUGUUCACUGUAAUGCCAUCUGUCGGUGCAUACGUGUGUGUACAGUAUGUGAGCGUGUGUGUGUGUGUGAGUUUACUGCAUUAUUGUCUUCAGAGAUGUAUUUUUUUGGUAGUAGAGGGUGGGUGAUUUUAAAAACAUUGUAAAUCCAUGUUUCUGUUUAUUUGUUUUAUUUGAAGAAGAGCAUUAAUGUCUUUCUGUGGUAGCCACCAUUUUUUUUUCUCUCCUCCCCAUCCAUCGUCUCAUUUCUGUCUUCCACUAAUCUCUGUGUGUGUGUGUGUGUCUGGGCAGUGUACUGUAUGUGUCAGUGAUCACAUCGCACCCCUCUCACUUCCAGUACAAAGACCCUGGUGCUCUCAGCAUCUGCCUUAAGAAGCAGGUGUGGAAUCUCUCAAAGAACAAGACUACAGUCAGACCAGUUGUUUAAGCUACAGCUUUCCACAUCAGGGGAAAACUCACGUUCAUGUGUAUAUUUGGCUUUUCUUUUCUUUUUUUGCACACUUUUAUCCCUGCAUACAAAGCGGCUCAAAACGGACACACCUGUUACGGCCUAACAGACGCAUACAGUGUGUUUACGACAACAGCGACGUGCAUCACAAAGGUCAUUCCCUUCUUUUCUUCUUCGUGACGGGUCUCAGGCGUGGUGCUCUCAUCGCAUUAGACACAAAACACACAAGACAACACCCCCUCGUCACGGCUCCAUCGAACAUCGUCGUCACCUCCUGCCUUUCUUCUCAGAAAGGUCAAACGUCUGUUUGCUGAAUAAUAACAUUAAGGUUUGUGCACUUAACUUUUUAAGAAAUUGGAGAAUUUGGACACUGUCUUCUAAAGAAAUCUCUUCAAAUGUAAGAGAGGGGAGAAACAGCCCCCCUUUGAUAAUGAAUCGUUGAGCAGCAAUUUAUAUUUGCCAGUGAUAUUAAAAUGAAUUAAACAUUUGAAACCCUUGUUUACCUAC